UACAGAGGGUGCGAGCGUUAAUCGGAAUUACUGGGUGUAAAGCGCACGUAGGCGGCUUGGUAUGUCGGGUGUGAAAUCCCCGGGCUCAACCUGGGAACUGCAUCCGAAACUGCCUUGCUAGAGUAUGGGAGAGGGAAGUGGAAUUUCCGGUGUAGCGGUGAAAUGCGUAGAUAUCGGGAGGAACAUCAGUGGCGAAGGCGACUUCCUGGACCAAUACUGACGCUCAGGUGCGAAAGCGUGGGGAGCAAACAGG
rnacentral:rRNA from 1 species